AUGUAUGCUGUUGUUAAUAUGUGAAAUAAUCCUUUUUGCUUUUCUUCAAUCGUAGGUUUUCUUUAAGAAAUAGAUCAUCCAAUGGCUACCAACAUUGUGCUGCCCUUAACAUUGUGGAUACUGCUUAUUAAAAUCAUAAGUGUACUAUCCCUUGACCCAUGUUUAAGAGGAAACUACAAAAUUCUUACGGAUUUACCUAAACGAAGUCCCGAUUUUGCACAGGACGCUGCCCCAAUUUGCGACAGAUAUCUAGAGGAAGGAUGGUACCGUGCACCUAAUUAUGAGAUGGUAGCAUCCCCACCUAGUAUAGGGUUUUGUGGAACUCUAUACCCGUUUUGGUUAAAGGG